CACGAUGUUCGUACCUCAUUGGAAAUUCGGUGUAGUUGGCAAGAUGCAAGUCCAAAAUAUAUAAUUGUGUGAUAUCAUAUGCAUUGCUAUUGUACGUAUUUUAAAAAAUAACGAUUUUUAAAAAUAAAAACGAAAAAAAUAAUUGUUGAAACUAUGUUUUAUGCUGCAUGCGACAAGCUUAAUUUUUUUAAAAACGGCGAUUUUUAGGUUGUCCCGCGUAACAUAUUUCAUUUAUUGUAACCACUAAACUAUGAUUUUCGUCAAAACUAUUUAAUAUUUUGAAAAACGGGUUUUUCCAUUAUUAAACAGGAUGGUUCCCCAGUCUUUUAUGCAUUUUUUAUGACGUUAUGAUGACGUUAUAGAAAAAAAACGCGUUCCAUACUACAAGGGCAAAUCUGUCCCGCGGGAAAAAAAAUUGGAUUCCAGAUUUGAGAAUCAAAAAACAUUUAUCUUUAAUGAAAAAAGUUUAGUAUUUGUAUUUACUACAUCAAUGUCAAUUUGCUUAAUUUUAUGAAUUUAAAGACAAAUAUCCUGAAAAAUUAUAUAUGGUAAUUUAUGAGCGAUUUUUCAAAGGCUUACAAGUUUGUCGCACCGCCAUUUUUUGACGUAAAAACUAACUCAACUCAAAUUUACGUCAAUUGUUUGCUUAUCACUGCUCUUAUAAUGGUAGAAUUUUACAAUUUUUUAAAGUGUUAUUUUUCUUAAAUUUUCAAAAAACUAAAAUACAUCAAUUUUCGAUAAGUAGUUAAAAAGCACCGUCAAUUUUGCCGAGUCUUACAAGAAUGUCGCACUUGCUUAAAAACAACGUUUCAGUCGAAUUUUCGGUUUGAACGUUACGAAAUAUUCGCGACGUUGUGUUACGCUUACAUGUACGAACAUCGCGCGUAACGUCA
rnacentral:lncRNA from 1 species